UACGUAGGGUCCGAGCGUUAUCCGGAAUUAUUGGGCGUAAAGAGCUCGUAGGCGGUUUGUCGCGUCUGCUGUGAAAACUGGAGGCUCAACCUCCAGCCUGCAGUGGGUACGGGCAGACUAGAGUGCGGUAGGGGAGAUUGGAAUUCCUGGUGUAGCGGUGGAAUGCGCAGAUAUCAGGAGGAACACCAAUGGCGAAGGCAGAUCUCUGGGCCGUAACUGACGCUGAGGAGCGAAAGCAUGGGGAGCGAACAGG
rnacentral:rRNA from 1 species